GAAUUCAAAGUUUACUAAAAUAAGUUCAGAAGUUCUGUUAAACUUAAGGCAAAAGUGUCAUAAUUGGUUUCACUAAAAUUCUUAAAAUUCCCCCAAUUACUUAAAAUCAGUUGACACAAUUUACUUAAAUAAAAUUGGUAAAUGGGUCCACUGAGAUGGUAAAAAAUUUCCAGUACAACUAAUUUCACUCAUUAUCAGUAGUCCUUUGCGAAAAUUUAUUUUUUUCAUUUGUCCAGGAGAACAGUCCCUGUAAAAUUCAAGAGGAGUGCAAAAGAUGUAGCUGCGUGUUGUCCGAUGAUUUAGACUCCAUUUUGAAGCAAAUCCCACCAGACGUAAUGGUAUGUAGCACCGCCAGUGGUGGACAUCUCUCACUCGCUUCCGUGUAGUAACUUAUUCUGAUUUCAUCGAACACUUUGUUGUUCUUUACUUGUUCUCCUUGUUGUGGAUAUAUCUCAACUUCCCCCAAAUUUUCUUUUCCUUCA